rnacentral:lncRNA from 1 species
GAUGAUGGAAGGUCAAGAAGAGGUCAGCAAGAACCUCUAGUAACUCUCCAAAUCAGAUUUCACAUUCUAAAAGUCAAUAACUACAAAGCCACCUCUAUGGGUUUUGUGAAGGAGAAGUAACGGUAACGGGAAAUACAAUGCAUAAAAAAAGUUAAUGCGAGUCUCAACCCACAAUUUACUAAUCCACGUGGUGAUAAAUUGUUGGAGGGGCACAGAAGAAUUUUGUUCCCUC